CCUACGGGUGGCAGCAGUGAGGAAUCUUCGUCAAUGGGCGCAAGCCUGAACCAGCCACGUCGCGUGAGGGAUGACGGUCCUAUGGUUUGUAAACCUCUUUUGUCGGGGAGCAAGGCACGCCACGUAUGGCGGGAAGGAGAGUACCCGAAGAAAAAGCAUCGGCUAACUCCGUGCCAGCAGCCCCGGUAAUACGGAGGAUGCGAGCGUUAUACGGAUUUAUUGGGUUAAAAGGGUGCGUGGGCGGAAGGUUAAGUCAGCGGUAAAAUGUCGGUGCUCAACAGCGGCCUGCCGUUGAAACUGGUCUUCUUGAGUGAGCAAGAAGAAUGCGGAAUGCGUGGUGUAGCGGUGGAAUGCAUAGAUAUCACGCAGAACUCCGAUGGCGAAGGCAGCAUACCGGCGCUCAACUGACGCUGAGGCACGAAAGCGUGGGGAGCGAACAGGAUUAGAUACCCGUGUAGUC
rnacentral:rRNA from 1 species